rnacentral:misc_RNA from 1 species
UGCUGAUUUCUCUCCCAUGUGAAUCUGGAAAUUUGCCUGUUGUCACAGCCUGGUACAAGCUAUUCUGGGCCAGAAAAUCAGCCUUGUCUACAUUUUCAAGAAGCAAGACAGAUUGGGGCUUCUUGCUCAACUCCAUUGCAAUAUAAUCAACAACCGUCUUCCCCCUAAAUUUCACAUCAUAAUCAUUUAAUUCUUGGCAUUCAAAGACAGAAUCUGAUGGGUUAACCCCACCUUGGAAGCUCAAAUCCACAGA